rnacentral:tRNA from 1 species
GGGCCGUUAGCUCAGUGGUAGAGCACUUCAUUUGCAAUGAAGGGGUCACCGGUUCAAAUCCGGUACGGUCCA